rnacentral:rRNA from 1 species
UACGUAGGGUGCAAGCGUUAAUCGGAAUUACUGGGCGUAAAGCGUGCGCAGGCGGUGAUGUAAGACAGAUGUGAAAUCCCCGGGCUCAAUCUGGGAAUUGCAUUUGUGACUGCCCGGCUAGAAUCUGGCAGAGGGGGGUAGAAUUCCACGUGUAGCAGUGAAAUGCGUAGAGAUGUGGAGGAAUACCGAUGGCGAAGGCAGCCCCCUGGGCCAAGAUUGACGCUCAUGCACGAAAGCGUGGGGAGCAAACAGG